UGGGGAAUAUUGGACAAUGGGCGAAAGCCUGAUCCAGCAAUGCCGCGUGAGUGAUGAAGGCCUUAGGGUUGUAAAGCUCUUUUACCAGGGAUGAUAAUGACAGUACCUGGAGAAUAAGCUCCGGCUAACUCCGUGCCAGCAGCCGCGGUAAUACGGAGGGAGCUAGCGUUGUUCGGAAUUACUGGGCGUAAAGCGUACGUAGGCGGUUAUUCAAGUCAGGGGUGAAAGCCUGGAGCUCAACUCCAGAACUGCCCUUGAAACUAGAUAACUAGAAUCUUGGAGAGGUGAGUGGAAUUCCGAGUGUAGAGGUGAAAUUCGUAGAUAUUCGGAAGAACACCAGUGGCGAAGGCGACUCACUGGACAAGUAUUGACGCUGAGGUACGAAAGCGUGGGGAGCAAACAGGAUUAGAUACCCUGGUAGUCCACGCCGUAAACGAUGAUAACUAGCUGUUCGGGCUCUACGAGCUUGAGUGGCGCAGCUAACGCAUUAAGU
rnacentral:rRNA from 1 species